rnacentral:rRNA from 1 species
UACGUAGGGUGCGAGCGUUAAUCGGAAUUACUGGGCGUAAAGCGUGCGCAGGCGGUUCGUUAAGUCCGAUGUGAAAGCCCCGGGCUCAACCUGGGAACUGCAUUUGAAACUGGCGGGCUUGAGUAUGGCAGAGGGGAGUGGAAUUCCGCGUGUAGCAGUGAAAUGCGUAGAGAUGCGGAGGAACACCGAUGGCGAAGGCAGCCCCCUGGGCCAAUACUGACGCUCAGGCACGAAAGCGUGGGGAGCAAACAGG